rnacentral:rRNA from 1 species
CCCUUAGAUGUUCUGGGCCGCACGCGCGCUACACUGAUUCAUGCAACAAGUUUUGUCCUUGGCUGAUAGGCCUGGGUAAUCUUUGAACGUGAAUCGUGAUGGGGAUUGAUGAUUGCAAUUAUUCAUCUUCAACGAGGAAUUCCUAGUAAACGCAAGUCAUCAGCUUGCAUUGAUUACGUCCCUGCCCUUUGUACACACCGCCCGUCGCACCUACCGAUUGAAUGGUCCGGUGAAAUCUUCGGAUCUGAGAGAUGUCUGAUUAAUUUCGGACGCCUUUUGGAAAAGUUGUUUAAACCUUACCAUUUAGAGGAAGGUGAAGUCGUAACA